CCCUUAGACGUUCUGGGCCGCACGCGCGCUACACUGACGAAGGCAACGAGCUUUCCUUUACCGAAAGGUACGGGUAAUCUUUUGAAACUUCGUCGUGCUGGGGAUAGAUCCUUGCAAUUUUUGGUCUUAAACGAGGAAUGCCUAGUAAGCGCAAGUCAUCAACUUGCGUUGAUUACGUCCCUGCCCUUUGUACACACCGCCCGUCGCUACUACCGAUUGAAUGGUUUAGUGAGGCCUUCGGAUCCGCGACUCGUUUGUGGAGAAGUUGGACAAACUCAGUCAUUUAGAGGAAGUAAAAGUCGUAACA
rnacentral:rRNA from 1 species